UUAACGGCAAUUAAGGUGUUUCCGCCUUGGUGAGUACGACCGGCAAGGUUGAAACUCAAAGGAAUUGAACGGGGACCCGCACAAGCGGUGGAGCAUGUGGUUUAAUUCGAAGCAACGCGGAGAACCUUACCAGGUCUUGACAUCCUUUGAAGCUUUUAGAGAUAGAAGUGUUCUCUUCGGAGACAAAGUGACAGGUGGUGCAUGGUCGUCGUCAGCUCGUGUCGUGAGAUGUUGGGUUAAGUCCCGCAACGAGCGCAACCCUUAUUGUUAGUUGCCAGCAUUCAGAUGGGCACUCUAGCGAGACUGCCGGUGACAAACCGGAGGAAGGCGGGGACGACGUCAGAUCAUCAUGCCCCUUAUGACCUGGGCUACACACGUGCUACAAUGGCGUAUACAACGAGUUGCCAGCCCGCGAGGGUGAGCUAAUCUCUUAAAGUACGUCUCAGUUCGGAUUGUAGUCUGCAACUCGACUACAUGAAGUCGGGAAUCGCUAGUAAUCGCGGAUCAGCACGCCGCGGUGAAUACGUUCCCGGGUCUUGUACACACCGCCCGUCACACCAUGGGAGUUUGUAAUGCCCAUCAGCCGGUGGCCUAACCGUCUUAGGCUAGGAGCACGUCCUAAGGCUGGACUACGACUACAUGAUGU
rnacentral:rRNA from 1 species